CGUCCUCUGCCGUGAUCGACGGCGUGCACAAACAUUCGCCUUGUCCCUUAAUGACGACCACGGGGAUGCGACGGAAGCCUGGCGCGCAUGUCCGCCCACGAGCGGGAAGCCCGAAGGCAGCCAAGCGUUCCCACUUGAACCCCGGGUUCAAGGUCGUUUGGCACGCAUCGACAUGGCGGAGGACGU
rnacentral:other from 1 species